rnacentral:lncRNA from 1 species
ACUUUCUUCCAUGUGCACACGCUGAUUUCUCAACCUGGAAUCAUUUCCCUACACCUUUCCUCAAAGGACUGUUAAUGAGUUUUCAGAGCAGGUACUUCACUGAAAUGUAACUACCACAAUGCAUCCUUUCCAUGUGACUAACUUCGCUCAUGGACCAGAAUCACUGUGGCUCUGCCCUGGAGUGGUGCAAGGCAGGAGUACUGCAGCACUGCCUAGAAAGAGGAGCUCGCAUUCUGUUUGGAAAGCAAAUUAUUUAAAUCCAGUAGAGGACUCUCAAAUGUGGUUGGAAAAUCUAAGAAGACUUCCCAGAGGCAGCAGCACUAGUGUUAGGGAAAGAGCUCACAAAUUCCAUUGCUGUAGAAUCCAUGUGUUGAAGACCGCUACACUGGAAUCUAGUUUUCUAUCCUAAAAUCUACCUCCUGAGUUUGAGUAAGACUUGAACUAGUUUGCAAAUAUCUGUGAUCUUCACCUUGCCUGCCUGCAAAGCCCAUAAGCAAGUUCAGAAGAGACUUCUACUUGUCCAAAGCAACAUGGAGUAAAGUGGGUCAACUAGAAUUAAAAUAUGCUCCAGCCAAAGGUGACCAUGGAAACCUAUUGAUAAGGCUCUGGGGUCAGAUUCAUCUCUGUUCAGACAACUCUAGCGGUGUGACUCUGAGCAAGUGUUUUUUAACCUAAGUUCCUGCUUCCUCAACUGCAAAUGUAGGAAUGGUAACAUCUUCCUCAAAGUUGUAUGCUGGGGAUAACACAUGAAGGAGAUGCCUGGGCCAUAUAAUUAUUUAAGAAAUGUUCAUUUCUUUCUUGAACUACCUUCUACCAACUAUUUGGUCUGAGUUUAUGAAACUGUAAAUUUUGUCUAACAUUUGCCUAACAAAGCAUUAUUACCUUGCUUAAAGAAACACACAAUACAUUCUAAACCAAAA